UUUCUUUUGUCAAUGCAACAGUCAAGGGUCUGCGCUUUGUUUUGGAGCAGCUUCAGAUAAAACCAUUCGAGGUUUUCUUGCUGGAGAAACUAUGUAUGGUUUGCUGAAGUAACCUUUGCUAGCAGCUGGAAGGCUUGUUCCAGAAACUACAUGAUGAUAUCAUUGCCAUGUGUUUCGCCAGCAUUGCAGAAAUGUCUUAAACAUGAGAAUUGACUUGGG